AUGUAAAAGUAUGUAAUCUCGUUGGUCAUUAAUACAUUUUAUGUACAUAAGUGCUAUUUGGUUACUUACAGUAGACUAAAACUAGAUUCUCUUGGGAUUUUAGGAGUUUGGGGGUAGGUCCUUACUGAAUGUGAAAUAAGCAAACAUGGAAUAUAGCUUGAUUUUUGCUCCUAUUGGAGUUUAAGAGUAUUUUGCACCAGUGGCUUAAAUGGAUCAGGAUUCAGCUCGGGAUUCUGGAGGCUAUUCUGUGGGCUGUUCAUCUGGUGCUGGCUGUGGCAGUGAUCUUACACAGCUGAGUUCCGAUGGAUCCUAUCUGAAUCACUGCUUUGCUGGGAUUUUACAGAACAAGAAUAUUAAAUCUAAAUCUUAGAUUUUGCAGAUUGAGGUAAUUUAUUAAGAAGUGUGGUUAUGGGCUUUUAAGUAACAAUAUCUCAAUUUAAAGAAUAGAAAACCAGAAAAUGUGGGUUUUGUACACGUUGUUCUUUCACUGGAAUUCAAGGUGUCUGAAGCUGCCUAGUGUUCAUGUAGGCUCCCAGCAACCUGGGACUGCAGUUCAAGGAAAGUUGGGCAUCUACUUUUAUUAAUAGUUUUUGAAGUCGCGCAGCCAAACUGUUUCUUAAAUAGAUUUGCAAAAGAGUGUUUUCUUAAGCUGUUUUUUGUAGCGAGAAUAAACCUGGUGGUGGCCUGUGGGUUGGGUUGUCCUUUUCUAGCCCAUGUCCCACAAAGCCACAUGAAGGGAGCUUUUUGUCCCCAGCAGUGCCCGCUCAAGGGAGAGUUCCUGUCUUGCCAUGGCCAUGGUGGCUCCCCUUCUCCCUUGCCCCAGACUUGCUUUGUGCAGCCUUGUUAUCUCCUUUUUUGUGGCUGGUAUGGGCAAGGGAGCCAAAAUCAGAGUGGAACAUUUCCACUUCUUGUAUCGAUUGCUGCAUCCCUGGCUGCCUUCAGAGAUAUGUAUAAAGUAUUGCUGCCAAGUUCUUUUAAUUCUUGAUGUUUUGGCCACCUUUUCUGCUGAACAGUGAUUUUCUGUGCAGACAAAACAGUACACCAAGUAUGAAAAUACAGAUGGCUAUAAAGUUACAAUUUUAUAUUGCAUCUUCUCAGUAUUGAACACUUCCUCUCUAGUGAUUUCAGAGUCCCAUUAAAGUUAAUGAGAGUGGAGACCUCUGAGCAUCUUUGUGAGUUCAGGCCAUUUCAAUGCACAACAGAAAGGAAAUGCAAAUAUUAAAAUACUCCCAGCAACCUCAGUAUUCUUUGGUAAAGAACUCCAUUUGUUCUGGGAUAAAUCUAUGUCUAUGUCACCCAGGUCAGCCAGGCUGAUUGGUUUAUAUAUGAAAAGUAGAAAUUAGCCCUGGUCUGAGCUCACAUGGAGCAGUUUACAAGGCAUCAGCCAUAAUGUAUUCUUUGUGUGAUCAAGUAAAAAAGUAUGUGACUGUUAUUUUUUGUAUUUGUCAGCACUAAAAACAUUGCAGUGGUAGCACCAAGUAGUACAUUACUGAAAACACUGGGUUUAAAGAGGGAACUCCUUACUUUUUGCCAUGGUUCUAUGAUUGGUUUUUUUCCCCAGACUCUGUAGAACUGUAACCUUUUUUUGUAAAAAAAGAGAAGUACAAUCCCACAUGCAACUUAGAGAAGAAUACUUAUGUGUGAGUAAAUCAAAAAGUUUGUUUAUGUUGUUAAAAUAUUUUUCAUGCACUGGUGUUUCUUAUUGAUGUCUAUUAAUUAUCCUGAAAACAUCCCCUUGGUAGGGGCUAAUUAUCUGCAUACAGUAUGGUCUGCAUGGGAGCAGGUAGGAUUCUGCAGCCACACUUCAGUCAUCAAAGGGGAAAAAAUGCACCUCAGAACUAAUGUUAACACAGGCAGAGAUUUGCAUAGCUUCCUCUAAACUGAGAAGUCAUUUUUUGAAGACAACUUACUUGGAAAAUUACUUAAAAGAACCCCAAGAAAACAACGAAAGCUAUGUUAAAAUAACAGUACGAUGGGAAUCUCAAUGCAGCCUUAAUUGGAGCUUGUUAUGAGUAUCAGUUAGUCUUACACCAUUCAAAAUAUUACAAGCUUAAAUUAACAUUUUAUUGUUAUUAUCCCUUUAAAUGUAUUAAUACAGGAAGCACUUUUAAACGUUAAUACAUAGUAUUCAUAUAUAAUGUUUUAAUUUGUAUUAUUCAUUGUGAGAGCAUAUUGAAUAAUCCAAAGCAUUUCCUAAGCAUUUUCCUAAUGUCAGCACUAGAAAACUUGUGGAAAUCUUUUUUCAUUCGAGGAUCUUUGUAUUUUUUCUGAAGAAAAAAAAAAAAAAAAAGGCAGAUAUGAGCAAGACAUUUAAGCUAAUGAAUCAAAAUCAGCUAUGUGCCAUUAUUGGCUGAUUAUUGCUCCAUCUGCUCAGCGCUAAGGUGAAAAUCAAUUAGGGAGUCUCCCCCGCCGGCAGCGGCGCUGGGCGCGGAGCCUCCCCGGGGACACGGACCGGCCCUUCCCUGGGGCUGGAGCAUCCUCCCUUUGGACAUCCCCAGCGUGGGCAUAAACAGGAAAAAACUCCAAACCCGUGUCUGUAAUUCCAAACACAAUGUACCUACAUUUGAUUUAACAUCAAAACUGCUUAAAAAAUAUCAUACAAGUGCUAUCUGGGGAGAUUUCUUUCUCUGGUAUGAAUCGUGUCUUUAAUUUAGUCAGUUACUUUCUAUUUAUGUCAAGUCUAUUAAUAUCACAACACCUGCAGUUGUCUUUUCAGAAGAAAAUGGACUUUUGCAAACAAAAUCAAAAUCAUUACGUUGUAGUUUUCUUCAUUAAGUAAUGAUAAUGAGCUCUGCUUGUUUUAAAUAUUGUAUACAUUUUAGACUAGCAUGUACAAUAUUGCCCCUGGGUAUUUUCUUAACCCUACAGAGAAAUGCUUUGUAUUCUUAUAAAUACAGUAGCUGUAGCUCUUUUUCAGGCACACAGUCAUGCUGGAAAUAAAUUGCGGAAAUACAUAGUGAGAGAUUAUGAAAAUAUUUGGUUUAUAAUUUAGGUCUCACAAAACUAUGAAAAUUAAUUAUGUGUUUGCUUUAUAGGAAAAAAAUAACAUUUAAGAACAAUCAUAUGAUCUACAAGAAACCAAGCUUUAAAAAUAUUUUUAUUUUAAGUCAGUUGUGAAGCUCUACUCUUCACUAAUAAUCUUCUUGAUUAAGAAAAGGAAAUGCAUCAAUAUCAAAUCACAAGUAGGAAAUUAUCCUUUCAGGACUGCCAGGCUGUACAGGCAGUACAGCCUGAUGAUCUGAGUGCCAUCCCUGGGUGCUGGGGAGUAGGAUCCUGAUGACCACUCAGAAAUCCCUGUUUAAGACCCUUACAAGCCUGCAGGGAUUUUGUCUGUGCAGGGUCAGUAGUAAGAAAGUAAAUCCAAAACAGAAAGCAGUGUAAUCGUUAUUUCUCCUAAAAUCAGUGAAAGGUAUCCCUUAUUUUCAGUUUUAGAAGACUGAAGGGGGAAAAAAACCCACAACAACAAAACCAGCAAUAAACCACCCAACUCCUGAGGCCAGACUGUGAAUUAGCAUCUCAUUUCCUAAUGGGCACCACUGGGUACAUUUAACUUCGUUAGUACUAUUUGUGCUUGUGUUACCCUAAAACUUCAUAAAAUUAGGAAGAUGUGUAAAAGCAGAUCAGUUCUGCUUCCAUUCCAGGUUGGUUUGACUUUGUCUUGCCUUGUGUACCACGAGUGUCAUGCUCCCUUGCAGAACUGCAAACCUCCAGCUGUGGGAGGAGUAAUAGCAUCUUACCUCUGCUCCUCUGGAAAGAAAGGGAUGCAUCCAUGGAGAUGGCUUUUAUGGAAGGAUCCAGAAUAUACAAUCCUCAGGACCCUUUCUUGAUUUUUAAAAAUUAAUUUAUUCCUUCCACUUAAUGUAUUAAGUUCAUUUCAAAUAAAUAAAAGCAGCAUCCAAAUUUUGGAUUUCAGCAUUCUGUAUUCUCAGUCAAAAUACAUGGACAUGUAGGUUUGUGUGGAAUUCAAGGCUCAGGCCUUCCCAGUUUCUUUUCCCUUGCACAGGUUCAAAAUGUUUUUCCUCCUCCUCUUCAUGAGGAAAAACCCUUUUUCUCCUCCCUUUUCAGCUCCCCUUCAGGAGAAGAGCAUGCUUCUGUUCAGUGGAUUUCUCCUCAUUCAGACAAGUCCAGCUGCAUCCAGAUCACAGCAUUUAAGUGUUGAUGGAUCAUCUCCAAAUAGAAUUAUUAUCUUCAGAGAAGCCAGAAAAGUGGUCUGUAUGUUGGCCUGGCACUUGAGUUCAUAUUUUGUUGAAUAGAUGCUAAAAGACCGCUCGGUACUGGUGCCCUGACGGCAGCGCGAGCGGGGAGCAGCACCGCGGGUCCCUCACCACGGCUGCUCCCAGCCUUGGGCCCUUCGGAAAUGGAUCCAUCAGCACAGGACAGCUCUCCUUGGGCUCUCUUCACCUGCAAAAAGCAGCUUUUACUCUCACACGAGACCCAGGCUCCUCGGUGCCUCUGGGGAGGGACAGCCCCGCAUUCGCCUGCUCAUCAAGGGUGUUUAAUUACAGGGAGGAGUUUUUCUGAAGUUAUGAAAGUGAUGGAACAUCAGCAGUUGAGGAUACCUCCUAGAAUUCAUGUUCCCAGUCUAAGGGAUUCUUCAGGUUUUUCCAGCUUCUUUUCUCAUCAUCCAUUUUUUACCUCAGCUUGCAGUUAAUUUCCAUAUUAAGUACAAAAUUGCAAUCUUGACAACUACUGAGGUCUUUCAUUGCUUUUUACACCAAGUAAUUGAAGGACAUGUGGCUGCAGGAUGUCGUGCUUUGACAGUCAGCUACAAACUCAAGGCUAUUCCUUUCCUGGAUCCAGAACUUUGCUUAUUUCUGAAGCCAGCAGGUUGUUGUCAUAUUUCUGAGACCAGAAGGCAUCGUUAAGUCCUCUGGGGUCUUGAUGUCUCUUCUAAGACAAUGUUACGCAUUCUAAGAUACAUGCUCCGCUUGCAAUUGAAUAAGCUGAUGGCUGAUUGGAAUUGCAUACAUGAGGCAAAGCCACAGAGAUCACAGAGAACUGCAGCUGUUGUGCAACUUUAGACUACAUUGUCACCUGCUUCUUCGGGCACCUAGCUAAAGAAGACAAGAAGACUCUCAGAGGUAGAGAUAUUUCACAGGAUGGACAGAGAUCGCUUCACUUCGUGCAGCAGAACCCAGAAGUUCUACAGCAGGUCACUCAGAGCCUGCUGGAGAGAUGUGGCCAAAGCUCUGCACUGCAGAGGGGCCUCCAAUCCCAAGGGCGUGGAUAUGGUUUGACAAGGGCUUUGGAAACAGAGGACUGACCAUACCAUCUUGGAAGGCACUGGGACCCUGUUAUAUUGUUAGAGAGAUUUUUAUUUUUUUUUACCCUUGUGAAAACUAUUUUUAAGAUAUUUUCUGCAUUUUUCUAUCUCUAGACUAAAUGUAAGAAUUUAUAAUACUGAAAUCAGUGGAAAACCAGCCUUAGUUUGAAGAAUGUUUCCAGCCUUUCUCAUCAAAAUUUAUAAUCCUGUUGUUUUAGCUUUAUUAAACAGUGUAAAAACAGUGUAUAACCAGAGAAAAAAAGGAUAUGUGUUCCUUCUGAAUUCAUGUCAGUUAAUGACUCUCAGUUCUGUACAUAAUAGUAAAUAGAAUCUCAUCAGUUCAAACCUCCAAGCUCAUUCUUGAGGACGUAUUUAUUUGAAAAGGAGAUGAAAGCCAGUACAAACUUUAUAUGACACCUUUUCAAACUAAUAAAAUUACUAUUUUUAUACAAAAUGUUCUAUAUUUCUUUGCAGCACAGAUGGUUAAUGACAAUGAGGACUGCAAAGAAGGCUGAAAAUAAGCAUUUAGAGGCUACAAGUAUAGCAGGAAAAUUGAAUGUUGCAAAGAGUGAAAUAAGAGAUGAUGGAGCAAGACUUAGUGAAGUACUGAUGGUGUUAUUUCUCAAGUACACAUUUUCCAGGUCUUUAGAAACAGGAAAAAAGGAACCACAGAAGAAAAUGAAGGUUAAAACCCUUUACAAAGAAUAAAGUUUAUCCAAAACUGCAGAAAAAAGAAAGAGACACUGGGAGCAGUGGGUAUCCUAUGCUGGGCAGGAGGGGCUCUACUGGUUGGGGGCGUGCAAAAUGAAUUGAAGGAAGAUCUAAUAAAAAUCAGAACUGCUUAAGCCAUAACUCAGUUUAUUAUGUGGAAAAGCUAUUAUGUGCAAUUACAAACUUGCUUGGGGAUUGAGUUGGGUUUUCCAUUAUUUACCUAAGGAAAAAAAAUUCACAUAUUUGUCAUGUUUGCUGACAUUUGUGAAUUCAAUAACAUUUCACCACUUCUUAGAUAAGAAUGGGCAUUAUUAAUUGUGGCCAACAAGGAGAAAAAGUUCACACCUGUAUUUCUUACAGGGCUUUUCCAGUUUUCGUCUUUGCAAUUAUUACAAUUCUGCACAUUUUCAAAUGGCAGAAAGUACAUCUGGAAGGAAGAUGUUUUGUCAGUUUGCUGUUCACAUUUGAGCUCAGCUCAAGAACGGAUUUCAGCCAAAGGCUCUGAGCUACAGGAAUGCUGAGCACCUGAGGAGCAAUCCAUCGGGGUAAAGUGAUGCAUGGAGGCUACAGAAAUCCAUGGAGGUUAAAAUCCAUGGAAGCUACAGUAAUCCAUGGAGACUACAAAAACCCAUGCAUCGCGUAUAAUGCCUUAUGCAUUUUUUGAAAAGACAUAAUUGCCUUAAGGGCUUUGGAAUUUUUUUCUCCUUUAAAAAUAGUGGAAACAACGGAAUGGGAAAUAUCAAUGGGAGAUGCUGCUCAGAGCCCAAGUAAUUUCCUCACAAAGAACCAACAUGAGCCUGUCUAGUAAUGCAAAGAGUUGGGGACUGUAAAAUAGGGCUGGUUCUCCCCCAGAUGUGUUUUAUAUCCUCAGAGAGCAACGCAUGGCCUGCUGAGGUUCAGGUGAGCGUCCGUCCCUGUGUGAGUCUGAGCAAAGCCUGGAGCUUGCCCUGGCUGGGGCAGGCACGGGCAGCACUGGGCUGAGCACACUUCGAAUACUGGGCCCUGCUUGCAAAGGAGGCUGUGAAGAGCUCAGCCCCAGCACAUGCACACCUUACAGAGUAAUUCCUUGGCUUCAUUAAUGUUUUAUUGCACAACGAGUUUACGAUGACAGCAAACCUCUCAAACUGCAGCGGGAUAACACGCUUCCUCACCGUAUUAAAAAAUAAUGUUGGUAUAGGUUUUAUGUACCAGGGUAUAGACUGCUGUUAAGAGGCACUGCUUUGACAAAAUUCUUUUUGAGGUUUACAGAAAGCAUAAUAAAAUAUGUAAGUUACAUUUCU